rnacentral:tRNA from 1 species
GGGCGGUUAGCUCAGCUGGUUAGAGCGCAUGCUUGACAUGCAUGAGGUCGUUGGUUCAAAUCCAAUACCGCCCA